UUUUUUUUUUUUUUUUUUGUAGAGAUAGAGGCAAAUGGUGAGAGACUGAAAAUGCCAGCUCACCUCCUCCACUCACUCAUAAUUAAAUUGCAGCAGAAUGAAGUCAAUAAGGCCCAGAAUAUAAAGGGCCAACUACAGUGCACAUCAGGAGCAAAGGUCCAGCAGAGAAAAGGUGGAGUAUUUCAUGUUCUUAAAAUUGAGGGGGGAAUGUAAAUCAGAUUGAUUUCAGUACCAAGCAUCACCUGCCACAGAGUCAUUACAGAUAAGUAUAUUCCACACACUGUCAUUCAUUGUAACCCACUAUGGCAAUCGUCACUUGUGGAGAGGAAUCUGACAUUCUUGUAAUCUCCCUCCAGCAAGUCUGAAGGGUAUAGUUAUUUUAUUCAGUAGAUUCAAAAUGUCCCAAAGCAAGUUUUAAGCAUUUGGCACUCAAGAUUUCUUUUAAGUUAGCGUAUAAUUAUCUCAGUUUUGGUUUCAACUUUUUUUUGUCAUCCUCACAAAAUUCUGUUAUCACUUCAUGCCAGAAGAGAUCUACCACCAGCCCGAGCACUGAAACACUUGAAAAUUUGACUUUAUACUUUGGCUAAAAUGACUGUAUACAAAAAUAGACCUCAAUACAAGUGAUACUUCCACUGCCUCAUCCUGUGAAACACAUGAAACAUAUGCUCAUUAGUUACAGGAACCAAUUUAAAUGAUAAUGUUUUCAAAUGGCCAACAUCGAAUAAACGUAGGGAGUAAACAUCAUCACAACAUGGCAAACAAGCUCUGAAGUGCAGCUGAGUGUGAAGGUGAUUGUCAAGGGACAAAGCUAGUGGGUACAGGCUACAAUAAAAAGGCGAUGUAAAGGUGUGUACAGGGGGAAAGAGGAGAACACAGUUGAUGCUGAAAUCCUCAUAUCCUGCUCUGUGUGAAUAUAAACUGUUUUGGUAAGCUAUUUAGAAGGACAGACAACAGGAGAACCAGAAAAUCUCAUUGUUAAAAUCAACAGCUGUCAGAGUUAAAUGUAUUUUUAUAAUCCAGUGUCUUGAACCUACACUUACGAUGGAAGAAACAGGCCAUAGGCAAUUCUGUGUAUUUUAACAAGUGACUUAUUAAACAUGAUUGACUAGAUUGGGCAGAAGUCAGAUGAAAUACACAGAGCUGCUUUUGUGCUUCUUGCUGACAGUAGAUUUCAGU